GCCAAACUGAUUUUUGUGACCACGCCCCCGAGGCGGAAUUUCACCUGGCGAAUUCCACCUGGUCAUAUGCUGUGUGUGAACGAACAGUGAGCACGUUUAGCGUGAGCAGCUAACCAAAAGCCUGCUAGCUAACGCUGCAACCGGAGCAAACCAAUACAAAGCACGAAAUCGCGGAUACAUGCAACAGAACGAGCGAUCAUAUCCUCCUAAACUGCAGUGUAACACGCCAUCAAGACGACAUCUCAGCUACGACUUCCUUCAUCUACGGACACUCUCCAAAAGACUUGGGCAUUUAGCUUUCCUUGCUAUUCACAACCUGGGCUAGUCAUAGGGAUGGUGUGGUGUAAAGCCUGUGGAAACAGCGUGGGUGUGUGUGUGGACCGCUGCUGUGACAUCUGCUGCCAGGGCUGUGUGAGCUGCUGUGGUUGCCUGUGCCCCCGUGACUGUCUCUACACAUUCUGUGCCAUGUAUUACCGCCUUGCCCACUACUGUUCUGUCGGUCAGAAACCAGAGCCGGCCUAUGCCAUGCCUGGAUCACUCAUGGGGAUGGUGUGGUGUAAAGCAUUAGCACCAUGGUCCCAGAACAGUGGAAACGGUCACGAGGCCCCUCCAUCCUGCACGUCCUGCAGCAUGGGUGUGUGUGUGGACCGCUGCUGUGACAUCUGCUGCCAGGGCUGUGUGGGCUGCUUUGGUUGCCUGUGCCCCCGUGACUGUCUCUACACAUUCUGUGCCAUGAUUGCCCGCCUUGCCCACUACUGUUCUGUCGGUCAGAAACCAGAGCCGGCCUAUGCCAUGCCUGGAUCACAGAAAUGCUUCAGUGUGGGAGAAGAGGUGUAGAUGCCACUUUGGCCAAGUUGACGGAGACACAGCGGAGACAGAUGGCCCCAAUGGCAGUCCUCCUCACCCAAAUGUUCCAUCAUCUUUCACCUCUGUCUGUAUUGAUUGGGUCACCAUUUGCUUUUGAGUAGAUUGUUAAGCAUUCUGUGCUUAUUAUUUUGUGAUUGUAUUUUUUUUUAUCAUGUAUACCCAUACUAGCAAUGUUUCUGUGCUCGAUAACAAAAGUUAACAAAUGAUGGCAAUUUCAAUAAAGGCGCUGCCACGCAAAUUCAUCCACUUACUCUGUCUACAGUGCACUGCAAAAAUUCAGCUUUUAAAAACAAGCAAAAAAGUUAGAAAAUGGGGGAUAUAUUACUUAAAAUAAGCAAAAUGAUCUGCCAACAGAACAGGAAAAUUUGGCUUACCAAGAUUUAAAAAAGAAAACCCAAAUAUACCUAAACAACUAAAAACAAGUACAUUUGUCUUGAUUCUGACUUUGACAAAGCAGUUUUGUACUUGUCAGCGGUGAUCAAACUAGUUUCAAGCAUUAACUUGCUCAGAACCAGUAAUAAAAUCUCAGUAACAGGUUAUAAUACCGUAUUAAGAUAAUUAAGAACCGAAACGCU
ensembl:lncRNA